CCUACGGGAGGCAGCAGUGGGGAAUAUUUGGCACUGGGCGCAAGCCUGACCCAGCAACGCCGCGUGAAGGAAGAAGGCGUUCGGGUUGUAAACUUCUUAUCAUGUGGGAGAGCAGAAGACGGUACCUCUCGCAUCAGCCACGGCUAACUACGUGCCAGCAACCGCGGUAAUACGUAGGUGGCACUCGUUGUUCGGAUUGACUGGGUGUAAAGGGCGUGUAGCCGGGCUGACAAGUCCGAUGUGAAUUUCCGGGGCGCAACCCCGGCCCUGCAUUUGAAACCGUGGGUCUUGAGGAUCGGAGAGGCAGGCGGAAUUCCUGGUGUAGCGGUGAAAUGCGUAGAUAUUGGGAGGAACACCAGUGGCGAAGGCGGGCUGCUGGACGACAACUGACGGUGAGGCGCGAAAGCGUGGGGAGCAAACGGGAUGAGAUACCCUUGUAGUC
rnacentral:rRNA from 1 species